UACGAAGGGGGCUAGCGUUGCUCGGAAUCACUGGGCGUAAAGGGCGCGUAGGCGGCUUUUCAAGUGACGGGUGAAAUCCCUCGGCUUAACCGAGGAACUGCCUGUCAGACUGGAAGGCUUGAGACCGGGAGAGGUGAGUGGAAUUCCCAGUGUAGCGGUGAAAUGCGUAGAUAUUGGGAGGAACACCAGUGGCGAAGGCGGCUCACUGGACCGGUACUGACGCUGAGGCGCGGAAAGCGUGGGG
rnacentral:rRNA from 1 species